rnacentral:piRNA from 1 species
UGAACUGUGGACAGUUAUGAAGUCUGC